rnacentral:rRNA from 1 species
UACGGAGGAUCCAAGCGUUAUCCGGAUUUAUUGGGUUUAAAGGGUGCGUAGGCGGCCUAUUAAGUCAGGGGUGAAAGACGGUAGCUUAACUAUCGCAGUGCCUUUGAUACUGAUGGGCUUGAAUACACUAGAGGUAGGCGGAAUGUGACAAGUAGCGGUGAAAUGCAUAGAUAUGUCACAGAACACCAAUUGCGAAGGCAGCUUACUAUGGUGCAAUUGACGCUGAGGCACGAAAGCGUGGGGAGCAAACAGG